CCACAUUUCACACUCUUCAUUUCAGAAACAUCCCUACGACAUUAUUAAAGUACAUUUUAUGUCUCCAAGAUUAAUAGAAAGAUAUUUACCAAUCUUCGGACAUGGUCAACUAUAUGUUGCUUUCUCUAGAGCCACCUCUCCCAUGCCCUAAAGGUACUCAUCGUACCACAAGAAGAAGAUCCUCCGAACAUUACCAAAAAUAUUGUUUUCUCAUACUUCCUAAAUCAACUACUCCAUAUACAGGGAACUUCUAAUGAUGUUCAAUUGGAUAUCAACAACUACACAACAUGAUACACAAUCUACUACAACUAAGAGUUAUAAGAAGAUGGCAUACAAACGUAUAAGUAAAUAAUAUAUUAUUUUAGUACAAAAUCAUGUAAGUUUUAUGAAAUAUAUAUAAAUAAUUAUAGUUGUCAUUAUUCACA